AUGUACGUUGUACCUAAUAUCCACAGGGGACAGUUUAGGUAGAAUCUCAGCUUUGGGAGCUGAGGGCAA
rnacentral:tRNA from 1 species